AAGAGGAUAGGGUGCAGACCCAUGAAGAAGAAUGAAGCAAAUUGUUUCUACCGUUUUUGGCUGUUUUGUGUCACCACGGUGCCCACGUACCCACCGGACCUUGCCUCAUGUCCCUCCGUGAAAUCAGCCAAUCGAUCCAAACAUUCAGCGCAAUCAAUCGAUCCAAUUUGGGAGCCGAGCGUCAAUCAAUCCACCGGUCUCAUUCUUCUCCCCUUCGGUGCGAUGCUCUAAUGGCAGGCCGUUGCUCGGGUUCAGCGGGGGCUGGUGGAACGACGCUCAAGUGAGACGCUGCUAUGCUUUUACGCUGUGCUCUAGCCGUUUAGAUGUGGACGGUCGGGAGGAGUACCUCGGGCGACAGGCGAUCGAGAUCAAUGGGUGUCGAGUGCUCGGGAUCAAUGGGCACGGGCGCUCGGAAGGGGUGAUUUGAAGGAUGGGGUUGUCUUUGCAUGGAUGGAGGUGGGCCGCCGCCACUCGUUGCGUGGACGGAUGUUGGCCGCCGCUCCACCGCCGCAUUGAUGCCAUGUCCACACCCAACCAUCGGUGUCCCCGACGUGGUGCUGGAUUCACCCUCACCAUCCCCGACUAGCCCGACUAGCUAGAUCCAUGUCCUGACUGGUAGGAGCUCCCUUCACUAGUAGAGAACUCACCUUCCAUGCGCCCCCUUUUAUCCUGGUUUAAAGUUGGUCUGGGACCAAAGAUUCACCAACCGGGACUAAAGCUCGGUCACUGGCAGGGGGCUGACCAACCGGGACCUUUUAUCCUGGUUGCAAAGGCUAGUGGAAAAAAAAGGUCCUGAGAGGUCUUUUACCAUGAUUUGAAACACCAACCGGGAUAAAAGACCCCCCUUUUAUCCCGGUUGGUGUUACCAACAGGGAUUAAAGGGUCGAGGGUCUUUUAUUCCAGUUUGUAAUAUCAAUCGGGAUAAAAUGGGUCUUUUAUCCCAGUUGGUGUUUCAAACCGGGAUAAAAAGGGUCCCCCACAGGGUAGCUGAAAGAGGACUAAAUCCCUCGAACCCUUUUAUCCCGGUUUGUAAUACCAACCGGGAUAAAAGACCCCUUUUAUCCCGGUCUCCACGAGUUAAUACAAAAAGAUUGCAUCCUCUAUAUGAUUAGAUGUGCUGUGUAGGUGGGAUGGUAAGGAAGUUACACGUGAGGAUCCUUUUUAUCUCGAUUGGUUUAUCCCUACUAAUCGGGACUAAAGGCGACAUGGAGGAGGCCAGGAGCUUGGCCGCCUCUCUCUGCUCCCGUCUGCUGUUGUUGCUUCUUGCACGCGCGUGGUGACCGGCCUGCGGCAGCACGCGGUGGCUGCAUCCCCCUCGUCGGCACGCGCCGCCGCUCCGGUCGGUCCACGCCACCGUCUGCCGCUGCUAUCAUAUGUCCUGGUCAUUGUUUGCUCCCUCCGCCGCCUUAUCUGCGGAGAUGUGACAUGCCCUCCGUGCCGUUAACCUCGCGGGUACAGUGAAGGCUGGCUUCUGGACGGGAACAACGACGUUCGCUCUUUGCUUGCCGGUGCCCCGAGAUUUCUAGAUAGCGUCUGAAUAAUCUAUCCGCUCUCAAUGCUUCUGUCGAUCGAGUAUGCUGAAAAGUGAAAACUUAAACUAUAUACUCACCUGUUGAACUUGUGCAGUAGAAAAGGAAAAUCAACUUGUGUAGUCCAAAAAGUUAUUCAUGUACUUCUUGUGUCUGAUUUUUCAAGAAAAAUAUUGUAGAUGGAGAGCACCCAGAAUGCAUCCGGGAUGCUAAAUUCUUGGAAGAUGGAGAUAUGUAACUGCUUGCUCUGAUGGUACUGUGAGGAUAUGGACAACUGAUACAAACGGGUUCUCGCAUUGAUGAACUUGCAGCUUAUGCAGAUCUUAUUUCUCAAUACACGCUUAGCAGGUUGGCAUAUCCAGUUUUAUAUCUUUAUUUUCUGCAAAGUUUUGUCAUUUCUUAUAGAUUAGAUCAUUUUCUUAUGUCGAUACCAGUUGGCCAUGUUCUGUCUACUGUCUAUGUUAGUUUUACAAUUUUCUCGGUCCUAUGGCUUAAUAGAUAAGUAAUAUUAUUCCGGCAAGGGAGAAUACAGGGCGCCGGGUGGCCAUGGUAGAGGACAGGCCAGACCGCCAGAGGGAGCUGCGGUGCGGCGUUGGCAAAUAGGAACGAUGGGAGGAUUCAGGAAUCAGGAGCAGCUUAGUUAAUUGGGGGUGUGGUGUGGGGCUGUGUUUUUUUUUAAAAAAAUUCGCAUGAGUCCCUUCUUUCUUAUUGCCAAGUUCUAAUACCCUGGAAUUUGCCUUGUUACUUUCUGUAUGCUUACGUGGCAACCCAUAAUAAUGAGAUGAAGAAGUGCACGUCGAUCAAAUUAUACAUAAAGGAAAAGAAACCGAUUUUAGAUGUUGGCAUGACGUGCCAACAUGGCAUGACACGUCGGACCAAGGACGAAAUUAAGCAGCACAAAGAAUUAUAGGGACUGAAAUGGUCGCUUUGGUAGUUGAAGGACGAUAUUAAGCCGUGUUGAGUGUUUGAGGACGAGAAUGGCUAUUCCGUCUAAUACUGACCGUUCGCGUUUUCAUUAAUGAAGUAAAUGAAGGUAUUGUCUUAAGUAAAUGAAUUAAUAAAUGAUAGGAACCGUGCCCAGACCUGAUAAUCCACAGUAAAAGAUAAUCUACAGUCUGAACGUUUUGUUUAGCACCUCCAAUUAUCCGAAGGCCUCACUAUGUUGUUCAACACACAUUAUCUAAUUAUUCUCAUUAAAAUCAAUAUGAAGAAAGCACAAGAAAUAAGUCUAUAAGGUUUCUUCAAAACAUGUGUGUGCUGCACGUGCAUUUUACUAGCACUACUCGAAAACUAAGCAUUAGUCCUGACCCUUAGUACCGGUUGGUUUUUGACUUGGUACUAAUGUGAGCAUUAGUACCAUGUCUAACGGCUAGUUCUCCUUUAGUAUUGGUUGGGAGCUCCAACCGGUACUAAAGAUUACCCAUUACCCGGUACUAAUGGGUGACCUUUAGUACCGUUUGGAACCCUCAACCGGUACUAAAGGAGCUCCCAACCUUUAGUACCCCGUCGCCCCAUCCACCUUAUCCACUCCCACCAUACCCCGCUCCCAUCCUCUCUCUCCGCCCGCCCCCUAUCUUCCUCUUUCUCUGUCCUCUCUCUCUGCGCACUGCUGCCUGGACCUCAUCCUCCUCUAGCGUGGCAGGUCGAAGGUGCGAGGCUGCUGCCCCUCCCCUCCCCCCUCCGCUCGCCCCUCACUAGCGGUGAGGAGAGGCGGCGGGGCAAGGUGUGGAGGCAGUGUUGGGCAAGGUGGUGGCCGAAGGAUGCAGCGCAGGAUGAGGAGCAGCAGCGCGGGUGGAGGAUGCGCCGCAGGACGAGAAGUGACGGUGCAGGUGGAGGAUGCGGCGUAUGGCGCAGGGGAGCCGUGGGGCGAGGCACGGCAGGCCGACGAGGUAAAGGGCCUCACCCUCUCUCUCUAUGAUGGGGGCAAGGGCGGCGGCCUCUCUCUUCCUCGGCGACGGGGCCAAGGGCAGUGACGGGGGUAAGGGUGGCGGUGGGAGGCAAGGGUGGCUACGGGGGCUUCCCCCGCUCUCUCUUUCUCUCUCUCUCCUUGCUGGACCUGCCCUUCUCCCGGCCGCAUCUUGCCUGCUGUGCCCAGCCGCCCCUCCCCGCGACCCACCGGCCACCCGUUCUUCCCGGCCAGCUGCCACUCCUCCUCGCCGGACCUUUGAGGCGCGCCUUAGAGAUCCAGUGAGUAGGAGCGGUGGCCGGUCGGGAAGAAGGGGUGGCCGGCAUGUCAUGGGGGAGGGGCAGCCGGCGCCGACGAGGCGCGGCCGGCGGGAUGCGAGGCCGGGCGACGUUAAUUUUUUUUAUUUUUUAAUAUCCCUUUAGUACCGGUUAUAUGAUCCGGUACUAAAGACCCCCAUUUAACGCUGAAGUAGCAAUACCAGUUGUACAACCGGUACUAAGGGGGAUUAGGAACCGAUACUGUGCUUUCCCCAGCAGCAUAGUUCGGUAAAAUGAAAGUAGAAUCAAAGUUCUGAUCAUCCCUGAACAUUUUUUUUUUUGCUCAUCCACACAGGAACAAGGCCUUACGACUUCCAUCAGAUGUAAAAUGCAAAAGAAGACACCAUUAGAGCUUAUAACCAUUGUACCAAAACAUAGUUUCUGUUCAUAAAGACCAUGCAGUACUUGCAUAAUCUAACCAAAGAAAGCCCACUGUUCCAACAGGGCAUAGUCUGCAAAAGGUACACCAAGUAAGCAUUAACGUUCCAGGACCUGCUAACAGCGGUAUUACAUCAGCUAUCUGGCAACACAAUAAACAAGCAGUCAAGCGCACAAAAUCUCUGCGACUCAAAAAAGGAAAAUAAAACGUCUGGUUCAAAUCUAACUCAAGCGCCCAAGUUACAAAAUCCUAUACUUCAACCCCAAGGGACAUUAGGUGCUUCAAUCUUUUCCACCCAGGAAGAACACAAGCACACAUCUCCAUGUCACUGAAGAUAUUUCACAUCGUAGUGCUUCAAAUAGUCCUGCAUGCAACCGAGUCCAGUGUGAGCAUAGUAAGUUUGGUAAAAUUUAGGUCAGUGACUUUCUCAGUGACGUUAGGAGAAGGCAGUAAUGAAGUAGGAGGAUCAGGGCGGACCCUUAUAAGUUCGUUGAUUUUUCUCCUGUAGUCUUGCAAGUACUUCUUGGCUUUUUGACUUGUGUUGUGAAUGCUUUUUGCUGAGUGCAUAACUUUCUCAACAACCUUCUGCGCAAUGAUUUUAUGGAGCUCUGUUGUCAAGUGACCCAUUUUCCAUGUUUUCUGAAGCUGUUCCUUCACAAAGUUAGUUAAUGCCUUUUUAAAAAUCCUCGGCACUGCAGCAUGACCAGUCACUUCAACUGAGCGGGAUAAAUCUACAGGGUGGGUAUUAUCAUCCCUAGUUUCUUGCUGAAUGGGUGGAGCAGGUGGAGGUGCAGCAGAUGGGACAGAGAUUGCUGUUGCUUCAUGCGGAAUGGGUGGAACGGAUGGAGGCGCAGCAGAUGAAUUUGUCACCAACCUUGGAUCCCGAUUACGCCGGGAAAAUUGCUUUCCAACAGGAGCAGCAGAAAGAAGAGCCUUUCCAUAUGGAUCCUUAAUAUGGGUUUGCUCACUUGCUGCUGCAUCAUGAUAAAUCGAAGCUGCAACCCUAUUAGCAGAUCUGGAGUAUGGCGCAACGGAUACCUCUUGCAAGGUUUGACGCUGAGUUGGCUCAUUUGCACCUACAGGCUGAAAAUUAUGUGUAUUCUGCAUGCUUUGAGUACCAGAAUCUUGGACAUGCUUGGGUAUGCCAGUUGUUUCCUUACUCCCCACAGCUGCCUCAAGAUUCUUACUAAUUUGAUCAUUUACGUUGAAAAUCUGUCCAUUGUGUGAAGAAACAUCUAGAAUUGCAUAUGCCUCUUGAGAAGAUGACUGACCUUGCAGACUAAGAGCUGGAACAUGGACACCUGCCUGAGGAACAAAAUACUCACCUAGCCGUUUUGGAUGCGCCAAAAAUUUAUAUUGAUGCAUUUGGCUGUUCCUAGUAGCAAAAUUAGUAGCAUGCAUCCCAUUUUGUAUACCCAAAACUUGUGAACUGUGGCCCUUGUCAAUGUUGAUGCCAUUUUCACUUAUUCGGCUAGGAAUUAAGAGCGGUGGCGGUUGUAAACCAAAAUCUUGUAAAGGAAACACGUAGUGUUGACUUCUUUGAGCAGAAUUUAGGUUCCCUCUGUCAUAUCCGGACAAAACAUGAGCACUUGUAUGCACAACAACAGGUGUGGUUGGUUCCAUCUGAUUAUUGGGAGCAUUGUGAUGAGGAUACCAGCUAUGACCAUUUGUAUGCACAGAAAUAGCAACAGGUACACGAUGUUCCCUUUCAGUUUCCAAAGCACUGUCAUGGAGAUAUCUGCAAUUUAAACCAUGACGACAGUGACCUUGCACAUAGAAUUUACAGGCAAUUUCUUUUGUCUUUCCUUGCUUCAGCCUUCUCCCAUUGGAUGAAUCCAGACGACCUCUAGCAUCAGAGCUUUCUCUAAUCUCAUCACUAUGGACAUCAUGAGAAGCAGAAUAACCAUGAGAAUAUAGCCAGCCCGCACCCCCAUUCAAUAUUCCUUCCCCAAAAUCAUGGCCUUGCAAAGUAAAGUGGUAAUCUCUUUGUGGUAUGGGUACUGCACCUCUUACCCAUCUAUCAGCUGCAAAAUCAAGUUCUCCAGAUGCCAUGCCUCUCCAUCUCCUCUCAGAAGGACUUCUGCUUCUGAAGCGAAAGGCAUCCCUGUAAAUGCAGACACUUUUCAAUUAAAUGUUCUAUUUACUUUGGAUCACUCUAAAAGCUUUUAGGAUCUCUUAAACAGAUACAUUGAAUACAAACUAAAAAUUAUUCAAAAUAAUAGGCUUACCAUAGUGCAAACAUAAAAACAUAAUCAAAGAUGAAAUUUGGUACUUGUUUGUAGUACUUAAUUCCUUUAUGUCAGAGUAUAAACAACAUGAUUAUGCCAUGUUUUCGUCAAUUGAGCUAGAGUAGUUUGUGCAUGCAAAUCAGGCAGUGUAGUUAAAUACAAGCAUACAAUCAUGCAUACGUAUACAUGAAUCUCAGCUGACGGGGUCUAGAUUAUCAGGUCACUGAAGAGAAGAUGUUACCCAGUUUUUGAUGGAUGUGUAUCCUGAAUAGGGCAUCCUAGUGCAGAUCUGGAGCAUAAGCAAUUUUGCCUAGGCCUCCCUACUUUUUGAUGGUGGCAGACCAGUGCCUGAACCUAAUCAUUAAUUAGGCAGGUCUAGGUGCCCAAGCUAGACAGGAUGGUGUCAACUGGCACCUAGCCGCAAUGCUUAGUGCAGCAAAUUUUUGGCAUGGCAAGACAGAGUAUCUCAGACAUUCUUCAGCGAGUAGUCGGAUUGAAUCUCGUUGCAGCUCAGUUCAAUCUGUUAGAGUGCUCAGUGCUCACGAACUGAAUUCGCAAUAGUUUUAUGUAUCUUACUAGGCAUGCAACGUGAUAGAGGCUUUCCAAUUUGCUCUCGAUGCUGGGAAUGAGUAGACAGGAAAAUUGAGUUGAACAGGAAUAGGAAAAAGAGACAUGUAAACAGGGCAUGCCUAAAGCGCUUUCUUAGAUUAGGGUUGAGGGGAAGGUAGGAUCCCUUCAAAAUGAAAAGUGGGUAGAAGGCCUCCCAAUAUCCCUAGAUUAUUAUUCAUCUAACAAAAGUAGUGCCAUUCUUUGUCGAAAAAGAUUUCUUAUUUCUUUGUCUAGAUGAAAAGGAAGACUAUUUAACAAGGAAUAGAGGCGUAUCUAGCAACUUUUCUUGGAGAAGGGCAAGGGAACAGUAAGGUAAAUCUAUUGGUGGAGAAAGCAGACGAUGUUCAUGUUGGGUAUAUGAGUAGAACAAGGAUUUGGAAACCAGCAAGCUCAAGGUCGAGAUUGGUUACUGAAUGAUCCCAGGAAGCCAGACACAAAAGUUAGUUGAAGCUUGGGUAUUGGGAUGGAACACUGGCUGGUAAGUAUGGAUCAGGUUUGGUUAUUAGCUUGAGCUGCUAAGAGAAUCAGUAAUGGAAUUUGGAUGCGGCAAUGGAAAACGUGAAUGCCCGUCUAUGAAUGCACAUGUAUAUGAUUUUGGUUCACUUGUACAAGAUAGUCAACAAUUAAAUUCAUGAAGAGUUCUUUUUUUAGGGUCAACAUGGUGUGUGUGGGGGGGAGGGGGGGGGGAGCAUCCCCACCUGAAUAUAUAUUGCGGUUGUUUUGCGAGCCAAAAAGCAGUACAGGUGCUUUGUAGCAGUUUUUGGGAGAACAGGGGGAGGUGAAAAACUGCUAGUUAAAUUCAUGAAGAGUUAACACAGGAUCCAAAUGCUAAUGCUUACACAGUUAAAGAGAGUAAUUAUUUUAUUCAACUAUACCUGUGGGACUGGUUCCAAGGACUUUCCGGAGAUCCUUCGAUUGCAUCAGACCUGGGCCACUCUUUGCAAACAUAUCUAUCCAUUUGAACCUUUCUUCAGAUGUUCUGAUGAAAUCCAAAAUGUUAACUAGUUUCAACUACGAUCCUCCUCUCAUAAAAAAUAAUCUAUGAAGUUCUCUGCAAUGAUCAUGAAAUAUGAAUGUAGUGAUCACAGGCUUAACAAAGGAUAAUUUCACUGAUAGGAAAAUAAAAUUGGGAAUCUCUGGAAUGAAACCAAGUCCAGUAAUUAUGGCAAACUGUAAAGGAUGCAUUAAACAGAUAUGAUUUUUUUAUCCUGAACUCCAAAAACUCACAAUUAGCAGUGACAACGGAAGUCACUACUCUAAACAAAAGUGUGCCCACAAAAGUGCAUGAUCCUCCAAGACAACUUUAUGAUGGUCAAUAUCAGGCAAUACAGGAUUGCAGUAUAGUUCUUUGAUUGUGAUCAGUAUUAAGAAGGUAUCUUAACCGCAAGUCUCUGUACUCUGUGCGUACCGCCCGAGAGGCUUAACACAAAUUAUCCCACACAAUCUAUUCUUCCUAUUCCUACAGUUGUGUCCAUUGACUAUCCCACAGAAGUGUUGUUGAUUAAGGAUCAUGACUGACCCUGUUUCACUGGCACCAACAUCAAAAAAGUUCAACCCACAGCCCAAGCGCAAGUAAAUCACUUUUAUCGAGAAAUUAUGAGGUUGAACAGAUGCUAAAAAAAGGAAUAAGAUAUCUUUUGCAUGGAUUUAUAUUCAUGAUGAUGGUGUCUUUAAUUUAAUUGAGUGCAUAACUGGAAUUCUAGGGAUGGCCUUGUCAAGCCACAUCAACCACAAAGUUUUGUUCUCCACCAACAUGGUUCUAGUAGACACUAGAUGCAUACAUGAAGGGUAUUAUCUCAGAGGAAAUAUUCUUUGGCCACCAAUUAGUUCAUUCUUUCAUAGUGUCCACUGCUUCUCUUCAAUGCCAUCCAUUUCCAUGGUUACAUACUCCCUCUGUCCCAAAAGACAAGCCAUUCUAGGAAUUUUAGGAUAGAUUAAUAAAACGGUAAAAUGACCUUGUUUACCCCUAUUUAUUAGCCAUAUUUGGCGCUAAUUGAUAGCCGCCUGCACAUGCACAUUCUAAGUAGGAUAAAAUGACUUGUUUUGAGACAAAUUUUGAAUACAAGAAUGACUUAUUUUUUUGGACGGAGGGAGUAUGGAGUAGGAGCAGGAGUGCAGGAUAUUCUUGAGUAAUACAUUUGGGACAAGAAACUAUUUCCAGGAGGCACAUGUGCAAAUUAUCAUUAGGAAAGCACACCAAAACUUUGGUCUGCAUGAUCUCCAAGAGGGGUGAAUUGACAAUUCAUCAAAUUGAUGAUAAUCUUAUGGGACCUAGGAGUUCAUGCCCAUGAUCCACAUCCUCAUCAAGAACAUCAAUAGGCAUAUCAUCAACAUAGGCGACGCGAUGUUUCAACACUACUUAGACUAUGAGCCAUGAUGAACGACAAAGACUAUACAAAGUUUUCGAUGGGCCAUCUUCAAGGAUAAGCUGCUUGCAAAUGUGUGGAGAAUUGUUAUGAACCCAAAGCUAUCCCAUGGCCAAACUACACUGGUUGGCCCAUAAGUUUACUUUCCCAUUGAUUUGAUCAAUAUCUUACUCUCCCUCCCUUCAUCUCAUGUGCCCUUGUCUCUAUCCCUCACAUGCCUCUCUGUCAUGUAUGAGCCAUCCUGCCAUGUAUUACAUCAGGCCAGCACUUUGUUACAGGCAUACAAAAGGGAACAAGCAGCAACAACUACAACAUCAAAUAGAUCAGAACAGCUCUUCUUGUACCUCCUCAUUAGUGCCUUAAUUCCUGUAACCCCCCCACCCCCCACAAUCACCGCUCGUCUUUUUAGCCUCCCUUACCCAUGCUAUUCCCCAUAUAGUUCCUCUUGAAUUCUACCUCAAUUACUUGUAUCAGAUACCACUAACGAAAUACUCUUUUCCCCUUUAUCCACCUCCCCCUUCUCAUUCCCAUUCCCCUCUCUUCCUUCCUAGGGCAUCGGCCCUCCUUCAGCCGCCACCUUCACUUUUCCCUCUCCCUCUCCAAUCCCCUCUCGUGGUUCCAUGCCACAGAUCUAGAAAGAGAAAGUACUAAACUAAAUCUUUUAAUGGAAUCAAACAUUCAAACAAGCAGAUCCGGAAAGUACUGAGUGAACCUGAGAACCUAGGCACGCAUACAAAUAAGGUAGUGGGGAUUUACCUUGAUUCGGGAAAUUCUUUGAUGGCGAUGAGUAGGGAGCAAGAGAUGGAGGGUGCGAUCGAGAGAGAAGGGGGGAUGAAGGGGAAAGGGUAGGGAAGGCGAGCGAGCGAGGGAGGAAGGGAAAGAAAGGAGAAGGAAGAAAGAUGGGGCUCCUAAAUCUUCCAUCCGAUAUUAGCCUUGGCGACAAAAAGCCCAAUAGCAGCAUUACUUCUAGCCAAAUGCAGCCCAACAACAGGAGGCCCAGGGUCCAAGUUUGUUUGUCCAUUUUUACUAUCAUUUUAGGAACAGGUUGGGGUAACCCUUGUGAUUAAUGCAAGACCAAUUUUACUUGAAACUUGAAUAUACCUAAUUCAACAAUUUUCCAAACUUAUUUCAACAAUAACUUAAUAGCCUAUAGUCCACAUUUUUAUGUUUAAGUAGUAAAUUCAAAGUGUUGAAAUAGUAACUUCAAAAUUGUUCCAAAAUGUUGAAAAAGCGCACUAAAAUGUUUGAAAUUAAAUUCAAAAUUUUUAAAUAGUAAACGCAAAAAUUUG
rnacentral:lncRNA from 1 species